UGGGGAUGAAUUCCUGAGUUUUACCUGCACAAUGAGGUGGUGCCCCGGAAUUCACAACAGAGUAGUGAUAGAGCAUAAGAUGGCUGCUCCAGAUGACUCUUGGGUUUAGUGUACUUGUGAUUGAACAAGAUUUUUUAUCUAUGAAGCUUGAUUCUACAACCAAAAUAAUAGAAAUGGGGGGGGGGGGGGGAAUCAUGUCUGCUUAUGCUUUUUAAAAGCUUAUAGUUUAAGUAAAAGUAAAAUGUAAAAACUGAUUAAACCUAUACAAGUCUGGCAAUGAGCUCUGCAUGAGGAAAUGGAAGGAGGAAUAUUGAAAAUGAUUCUAGGAAAGUGAACGUAAGAAAGGAAAAUGGGUUUUCCUUUUCUGAUCAUGGGCUCUGGAAAGUAUUCAUGGCCUUUACCAGCAUUCAGUAUAAACCAGAGAUAAGGACAUAUGUACUUACGUGUGUCUGUGAGUGUGUGUGUGUCUGAGUGUUAUUCUGAACAGCUUGUAAAUAUUGUAGUUGUUUAAAAUGGAAAAUAAAAGCUGAGUUCUUUUGGCAAAUAUAUUGCAUCAAAAAUACAGUAUUGACAGUGGAUAAAACACUGAGGAAAUAAAUUUUUUUUCAUUUUG
rnacentral:lncRNA from 10 species